UAUAAGAAAGAAGGCGUCCAAGUUCCUGAAUUGCCUUUUCAUAGAUUUCCAAAAUGUCCUGAAAUUAGAACUGCGUGGAUUUGGACAAUAAAACGAAAAUCUGGAAGUGAAAGGUUAUAAAGGACGAACGAAACAAACUUCGAGAGCUGGCUAAUAAUGGAACAAAAACGAAGGUUUUGAGCAUUUUCCUCAGUCAGUUUUCUACGUCCAGCUCUCUAUAAUUUUGUUGACCUAGAAUUCUUGACUUUUACUUGGCUUUUUAUUUUAUAAUAGAGCAAGAUCCCGGAAGCGCCAGACUGUAUUUAUGUACUUAUUUUCUGAGAAACGGCCAAUUUAUAAGUAUCAGCUGCUGCCUGCUAAAGGUACAUAUGUAUAACAUUACUCACUUUUCUUAAAGUCUGAGUGUAGAUAUAAUAUAAGUAAGUAUGUUUUACAGAAGAUUGUGAAUAAUUAAUAUUCAAUUCAAUAAAAAGUUUGUCAGAAACUUUCCGCCACAAAAAGUAACAUAAUAUAAAAUAUGCCUACGUUAAAUAUAGUAAUAAUACUAAUAAAUUGAUUUGAAUUAUU